rnacentral:misc_RNA from 1 species
CUGCGGAAGGACAUUAUUGAAUAAACUUGGUCAAGCUGUUGCUGGUCCUUCGGGGCAUGUGCACGCUUGCCACCAAUUUUAACCACCUGUGCACCUUUUGUAGACUAGAAACGUUUCUCGAGGCAACUCGGAUUGAGAACUGCUGCGCGAAAGCCAGCUGUUCUUGUGUUUCUCAGUCUAUGUUUUAACAUACCCUGAAUGAAUGUAUUAGAAUGUAUUGCUGGGCCUUUGUGCCUUUAAAUCAAAUACAACUUUCAACAACGGAUCUCUUGGCUCUCGCAUCGAUGAAGAACGCAGCGAAAUGCGAUAAGUAAUGUGAAUUGCAGAAUUCAGUGAAUCAUCGAAUCUUUGAACGCACCUUGCGCUCCUUGGUAUUCCGAGGAGCAUGCCUGUUUGAGUGUCAUUAAAUUCUCAACCAUACAAGUUUUUAUUAACCUGUAUGGCUUGGAUCAUGGGAUUUGCGGGCUUCCUGAGUCGGCUAUCCUUAAAUGCAUUAGCAGAGCUUUUGCCGCUAUUCUCUGGUGUGAUAAUUAUCUACGCCAUUGAGAAGUGACAUGUUGAGGCUUCGCUUCUAAUCGUCUUCACAGACAAUAUUUGACAAUCUGACCUCAAAUCAGGUAGGACUACCCGCUGAACUUAAGCAAUCAAAAGGGGGGGGAAAAAAAAAAUUUAUUAAGUUUGGUU